UACGUAGGGCGCAAGCGUUGUCCGGAAUUAUUGGGCGUAAAAAGCUCGUAGGCGGCUCGUCGCGUCAGCUGUGAAAACCCGCAGCUUAACUGUGGGCCUGCAGCUGAUACGGGCGGGCUAGAGUUCGGUAGGGGAGACUGGAAUUCCUGGUGUAGCGGUGAAAUGCGCAGAUAUCAGGAGGAACACCGGUGGCGAAGGCGGGUCUCUGGGCCGAUACUGACGCUGAGGAGCGAAAGCGUGGGGGAGCGAACAGG
rnacentral:rRNA from 1 species